GUGAAUCAUCGAAUCUUUGAACGCACCUUGCGCUCCUUGGUAUUCCGAGGAGCAUGCCUGUUUGAGUGUCUUGAAGUCAUCAACCCCUUCUGGUUUUUCUGCCGGAGGUGGGUUGGACUUGGGGGCCUGCUGCCGUGAGGCGGCUCCCCUCAAAUGCAUCGGUUGGACCUGUGGGUCGGACUCGGCCAGGCGUUGUACCAUCCUCGCUUGUAAACGAGAUGUUCCCCUCUAGGUGUCCUCCCAUGACCUUGCCUUUUGAGUGGCGGUCAAUGCACCAUUCGAAAUCUGACCUCAAAUCAGGUAGGACUACCCGCUGAACUUAAGCAUAUCAAUAAGCGGAGGA
rnacentral:misc_RNA from 1 species